rnacentral:sRNA from 1 species
CAAAAACCCCUGUAUUCUCCAACGAAUCCGUAACUGAAUAUUCUGCUCAUGCGGGGAAGGAUGAGAAGCUUCGACUAAGGUUCGACUCGAGCGCCAGCGAGAGAGCGUUGCCGCAGGCAACGACCCGUAGGGCGAAGCGCGCAGCGCUGAGUAAUCCUUCCCCCACCACCA